UUUUAGUAAAACCGGUGGAGCAAUUCAGAAAGAACUCUGAAGGUUACAAUUCCACACGGAAAAUACAAGAGAAUGCCCGGCAGCGAGCUAACCACGUUCGUAUCUUCCUGAGAUUCAUGUCUGAGCCAGCUGUUCCACAUGUUAACCAUCUGUUCCUUAAAGAGUACAGACGAAUCCGGAAAUUUACAGCAGAUCUGGCCGACCAAAACCUAAAACUGACGACAGUUAAGAGCUACUUGACAGAAGUCGUUGCAUUCAUAAAAUAUUGUUCAAGUAUGGCUCCAGAAGGUGUUGAAAUAGGCCAAAAAAUGCCUUACUCUGGGCAAGGAUGAGGGACGUGUCGAGAGCAGUGGUAGGGCAACAACUGGCCCAGCGCAGCAGAAAGUCCAAGGCAGUGGUGAAAGCAACUCACCAUGCAUGGCCAAGAUAUCUGCUGCACUCGGUAAGAAUCACUGCUAACU